rnacentral:lncRNA from 1 species
GAUUGCAGCAGUUACUAUUGCUGCCGGGACCACUGCAAUUGGUUACUUAGCUUACAAGAGAUUCUAUGUCAAAGAUCAUAGCAACAAAGCAAUGGUAAACCUUCACAUCCAGAAAGACAAUCCCAAGAUAGUACAUGCUUUUGACAUGGAGGAUCUGGGAGAUAAAGCUGUGUUCUGCCAUUGCUGGAGGUCCAAAAAGUUUCCAUUCUGUGAUGGUUCUCACAGAAAACACAACGAAGAGACUGGAGACAAUGUGGGACCUCUGAUUGUCAAGAAAAAAGAAAGUUAAAUGGACAGUUUUGAUGCUGCAGACCAACUUGUCAUGAUAUUACCUGAUUAUUUAAUUAGAAUGACUACCACUGCUGUCUAAUUUACCUCCCCUGGGUUCUAGAUAUGUGGUAUAUCGCAAACCUCACCUUUCACAUUCAUGGCAUUUGCCUUACUUGUUGAAACAUUGUGGUGCACAUUUGUUUAAACAAAAAAGGAAAGCCAACCUUAUGGCCUGUGGGUUAUUUUGGUCUUGUAAGGAUCCGUUUCUUUAAAUUUAAAAUAAUGGUAUUAGACUAUAGUUGUAUCUUGAGGUUGAUGUAUUAAAUUAUUCUCAAAAUCAUGUAUAUGUAGAUUGUACUUGGAAGUUUCAAAGAAAAUUUUAUCGCCUUUUCAUAUUUCUUAUUUGACCUAGAAAGUGAAAAGGGUGCGAUUAAGCUACAUUAAUUUCAUAGUAUAGUCUUAAGAAAAACCUGUUAUAACCUUGAUUUUCUUCUUGACAGUGGUAAUAACACUAAGAAAAUACAGCUUCUGCGUUUUCAACGUUUUCAAUCAAAAUGAACUAUGAAUGUCACUCUACUUAAUUAUAAGUUGACCAGGUCAGUAAAAAGGGGCAGAAACUUCAAAAAAAAAAAAAAAAAAAAGAGAUCUGAAAAAAUUAG